rnacentral:rRNA from 1 species
UACGUAGGGUGCGAGCGUUAAUCGGAAUUACUGGGCGUAAAGCGUGCGCAGGCGGCGCCGCAAGUCAGGCGUGAAAUCCCCGAGCUUAACUUGGGAAUGGCGCUUGAAACUACGGUGCUGGAGUGUGGCAGAGGGAGGUGGAAUUCCACGUGUAGCGGUGAAAUGCGUAGAGAUGCGGAGGAACACCGAUGGCGAAGGCAGCCCCCUGGGCUAGCACUGACGCUCAGGCACGAAAGCGUGGGGAGCAAACAGG